rnacentral:rRNA from 1 species
CAGCCAUUCAUUUAAAGAGUGCGUAACAGCUCACUAGUCGAGCGAUCCGGCAUGGAUAAUAAUCGGGCAUAAACAUACUACCGAAGCUAUGGACUUGUAAAAGUGGUAGGGGAGCAUUGUAGUGUCGUCGAAGGUGUACUGCGAGGUAUGCUGGAGAAGCUACAAAAGAAAAUGUAGGCAUAAGUAACGAUAAUGCGGGCGAGAAACCCGCACGCCGAAAGACCAAGGUUUCCCCGGCCAUGCUAAUCAGCCGGGGGUCAGUCGGGACCUAACACGAACCCGGAAGGGGCAGUGGAUGGACAACGGGUUAAUAUUCCCGUACCCGCAAUGCGACAAAAGUGACGGGGCGCCAUAGUUGGUGCGUGCUGACGGAAUAGCACGUUGAAGCGUAAGCGAUAGUACGACAAGGCCACGGCCGCGUCGAUAAUCCAGCGGAGGCGCCUCCAAGAAAAGCGAGCAUUGCGGCCCGUACCGUAAACCGACACAGGUGGUCGGGAUGAGAAUUCUAAGGCGCUCGAGAGAUUCAUGGUUAAGGAACUAGGCAAAAUGGACGCGUAACUUCGGGAGAAGCGUCGCCUGUAGUAAUACAGGCCGCAGUGAAAAGAUCCAAGCGACUGUUUAUCAAAAACACAGGGCUCUGCGAAGCCGCAAGGCGACGUAUAGGGUCUGACGCCUGCCCGGUGCCUGAAGGUUAAAAGGAGGGGUGCAAGCUCCGAAUUGAAGCCCAGGUAAACGGCGGCCGUAACAAUAACGGUCCUAAGG